GAUAAACGCUGGCGGCGUGCCUAAUACAUGCAAGUCGAGCGGUAAGGCUCUGCACAGGUUAUUUGAUCGAGAUUUAUUCUUACGUUUCCUCCGGCUAGAGGAAGCAAAAGAUCGAAUAAUGUGCGUAGAGUACACGAGCGGCGGACGGCUGAGUAAAGCGUAGGAACAUACCCCAAAGUGAGGGAUAAGCACCAGAAAUGGUGUCUAAUACCGCAUAUGGUCUUCGGAUUAAAGCUUCGGCGCUUUGGGAAUGGCCUGCGUAUGAUUAGCUUGUUGGUGAGGUAAUAGCUCACCAAGGCGACGAUCAUUAGCUGGUCUGAGAGGAUGAUCAGCCAGACUGGGACUGAGACACGGCCCAGACUCCUACGGGAGGCAGCAGUAGGGAAUUUUCCACAAUGGGGCAACCCUGAUGGAGCAACGCCGCGUGCAGGAU
rnacentral:rRNA from 1 species